rnacentral:rRNA from 1 species
AGGGAUCAUUAGCGAGUUAAUUAUAAACUCCAAACCCAUGUGAACUUACCUAUUGUUGCCUCGGCAGGCUGUGCUAUAUGAUAUGGGAAGCUACCCUGCAGCUACCUACCCUAAAUAGGAGUUACCCUAGAGUGGAGUCUUAGGACUUGCACGCUGGAGAGAAGCCACCUUAGGGCAUGGAAAGCCGUUUACAGAUGAGCACCGAUCUAAUAGCAUGCUAAAAAGCCUGCCGAAGGACCACUAAACUCUGUUUUAUACUGUAUUUCUGAGUAAAUUAUAUAAACAAGUUAAAACUUUCAACAACGGAUCUCUUGGUUCUGGCAUCGAUGAAGAACGCAGCGAAAUGCGAUAAGUAAUGUGAAUUGCAGAAUUCAGUGAAUCAUCGAAUCUUUGAACGCACAUUGCGCCUAAUAGUAUUCUGUUAGGCAUGCCUGUUCGAGCGUCAUUUCAACCCCCAAGCCCUAUUUGCUUGACGUUGGGAGCUUACAGCUGCUGUAACUCCUUAAAUUUAGUGGCGGAGCUAGGUCAUGCUCUGAGCGUAGUAAUUCUUUUUUUCUCGCUCCUGAUGCUGGCUUGUAUCCUGCCGUAAAACCCCCUAAAUUUUAUUCUGGUUGACUGCGGAUCAGGUAGGAAUACCCGGUGAACUUAA